rnacentral:lncRNA from 1 species
UUGUGAGAUCAGAUCGCUGGUUGAUGCAAUGACCCAACUCCGUUAAUUAUGCAGUUAUAUACAUCGAGGGAUGCCAUUGUCUGUGAAAGAAGAAAUUGCUUGCACUUGUCAGACGGAUGAGGAGCCUAAAGUAGCUUGACAAUUAUAAGCCUGGUGUUUAGUGUUUUACUGCUUCAGUGAUUUCCUUGCGAACUGCUAUUCCUUCAACUAUGACAAGUGAUUGCCACGAUCUGCACCCGCUCGGACGCACCCCUGGAAGUGUCUUUCUGGGGAGAUAGGUUACCUUGACCUGAGAAUUUACCCUGACCGGAAUUGUGGUUAUUGCAGGCGAAUUUGGGGCUGAGGAAAGAAGACGAGGAGCAACUUCUCUCUGGUCUGGUGGUUGGAACUUCAGGACAAGGUAGGUAGCAUCCCCAUCUCCCUUCCCCUCUUUCUCUGCUUACUAAUGUCACUAAAUUAAGGAAUAUUUGAUGCAAAUCCUGGUUGUGUCAAGGAAUUCAAGAGGGAUUUGUAUGAACAAGUCCAUUUUUUUAUUUAGUUAGUACCAAACAGAGAAGAUGCGGUCCAGAUUGGCCAAUUUUGCUGCUACCACAUGGAUUUGUAUCUAUGCAACCAUCUCCCUGUUGUUUGUGUUGUUUGGAUUGCAAGAAAUUCAGUUUUGGGUGACCUGCACUUAGUUUAACUUCUCUGAAUAAUCAACCGUAUUGUUUCUGUAUUGUUUUGCUGCUAUAUUGUUUCUCACUCAUGAUUGAUCUACUGCCAGGUGAAGGUUUUCAAAUGUUGAAGGAGCAGGACAAUAGGAACUUCUGUGAUGUCUUGUCAUCUAUUUUCUUUUCUUUUCUGUAGAAUAGUUUUGUUUGGCACUUACUGGUACCUUGGAUGUAAAGAUAUGUACUGCUAGAACGAAUGCGUGUAAGGAUAUUUUGGGCUCCUAUAACAUUUCAUGUUGCUUUGAAAAUGUAUCGGAACUGGGCUAGGCCCAAGAUAGCUUGUAGUGUGAUGUGUUGUAAUGUCAAUGGCAUAAUAAAAAAAGUUGGACUGGAUCAAUUAUUUUGGCCCAACACAAGAUAUAUUGAACAAUUAUU